rnacentral:rRNA from 2 species
GUUGGCCUCGGAUCAGGUGGGGAUACCCGCUGAACUUAAGCAUAUCAAUAAGCGGAGGAAAAGAAACCAACAGGGAUUGCCUCAGUAACGGCGAGUGAAGCGGCAACAGCUCAAAUUUGAAAUCUGGCUCACGCCCGAGUUGUAAUUUGUAGAGGAUGUUUCGGGUGAAGCCGCGGUCCAAGUCCCUUGGAACAGGACGUCAUAGAGGGUGAGAACCCCGUACCUGGCCGCCGGUGCCCCCCGCUGUGAAACUCCUUCGACGAGUCGAGUUGUUUGGGAAUGCAGCUCUAAAUUGGUGGUAAAUUCCAUCUAAAGCUAAAUACCGGCCAGAGACCGAUAGCGCACAAGUAGAGUGAUCGAAAGAUGAAAAGCACUUUGAAAAGAGAGUUAAAAAGUACGUGAAAUUGUUGAAAGGGAAGCGCUUGCGGCCAGACUUGCCUGCGGUUGCUCAUCCCGCCUUUUGGCGGGUGCACUCUUCCGCAGUCAGGCCAGCAUCGGUUUGGGCGGUCGGAUAAAGGCGCUGGGAACGUGGCCUCCCCUCGGGGAGGUGUUAUAGCCCGGCGCGCAAUGCGACCAGCCCGGACCGAGGUUCGCGCUUUGCUAGGAUGCUGGCGUAAUGGCCGUAAGCGGCCCGUCUUGAAACACGGACCAAGGAGUCUAACAUCUAUGCGAGUGUUUGGGUGUCAAACCCGUGCGCGUAAUGAAAGUGAACGGAGGUGGGAACCGCAAGGUGCACCAUCGACCGAUCCUGAUGUCUUCGGAAGGAUUUGAGUAAGAGCAUAGCUGUUGGGACCCGAAAGAUGGUGAACUAUGCGUGAAUAGGGUGAAGCCAGAGGAAACUCUGGUGGAGGCUCGCAGCGGUUCUGACGUGCAAAUCGAUCGUCAAAUUUGCGUAUAGGGGCGAAAGACUAAUCGAACCAUUUAGUAGCUGGUUCCUGCCG